rnacentral:rRNA from 1 species
UACGUAGGGUGCGAGCGUUGUCCGGAAUUACUGGGCGUAAAGAGCUCGUAGGUGGUUUGUCGCGUUGUUCGUGAAAUCUCACGGCUUAACUGUGAGCGUGCGGGCGAUACGGGCAGACUAGAGUACUGCAGGGGAGACUGGAAUUCCUGGUGUAGCGGUGGAAUGCGCAGAUAUCAGGAGGAACACCGGUGGCGAAGGCGGGUCUCUGGGCAGUAACUGACGCUGAGGCACGAAAGCCAGGGGAGCAAACGGG